rnacentral:lncRNA from 1 species
AGCUAGGGAACAGAUUGUACAAUGAAAAGAAGAAUGCUUGUGAUUGAUAGACUGCAACAAGGUUGGAGAAGAUCAGUGUCCUAACCGGAAGUGCCAAAGAUCAAACUUCUGGAGAGAUUUCUUGAGAGAUUAAGGAACAGACUGAGAAGUGGAAACAGUGAGAGUAAAAGCAUUACAAUCAAGACGAUACAGUCCUCCAAUGAGAUUAGCUGUGCCAAUCGUCUGAGAGGUAUUAUUGUCCUGAAUAAUACAAGAAGAAGAUCGAAACAGAGCAACACAAGAA